GGUUCUACAUGGUGUGACAUGUCUGAAGGAGACGUGAUACGAUGGAGAAUCUCACCACACUUUUACCUACGUAUAACUUACGAGCUUCUAAGGUCACUCAAGUUGAAUUGUCACAUACUAUGUGACAUAGUCAUAAAUUGAAUGGCUACUUAUAGCUAGGAGCCACAUGAUGCAUGAACCAUGAACUGUGCCUGCUGUCUACUACGGUUCCAGAGUGUGUGGUUCCUGGCCCCCUCUGUCAGAGCAGCUGUCCAACAUGCCACCCUGUGUCAGACAGCCACAGCAUUUUCCCUAAUUACACUACACAACACCUGUGGCCAGGUAUGUCACACCCUAAAUCCAUAGGAAUUUCCGCAGGCGUUUCCAUGACAGCCCUGGAUGUUAUAAGAGCCAGCUCGUACCCACAGACCUAAGAGGACGAGAAUAGAAUCAAUGACAG